AACGUAGGACACAAGCGUUAUCCGGAGUUACUGGGCGUAAAGGGCGCGUAGGCGGAUCGGUAAGUCUACUCUGAAAGCUCCUGGCUAAACUGGGAGAGGCGAGUGGAGACUGUCGGUCUAGAGUGAGGUAGAGGAAAGUGGAAUUCCGCGUGUAGUGGUGAAGUGCGUAGAGAUGCGGAGGAACACCAGUGGCGAAAGCGGCUUUCUGGCCCUUAACUGACGCUGAGGCGCGAAAGCAUGGGGAGCGAACGGG
rnacentral:rRNA from 1 species